rnacentral:lncRNA from 1 species
CCGCGGAAAGCUGGGAAUCCUGGGCUGCUGGUCCCAGUGCCAGCUUUGGCAGUCCCAGUCUGUCCGGCACAGCAGCCCGGCGCAUUCUCUUUUCUCCCUCCCAUUUUUCUUCCUCCCUUUUAUUCUUUUCUUUCCUCCUCUACUUCCCCCUCCCUCUUUUGCCUCUUAAGUUUCCUGCACCGUGAAUCCAACUGUGCCAAGCCUGGGCUCUCGCGAACCAAUCCAGAGCGCGACCCGGGCAUUGGGACGCCGACUCCGCCAAGGCUGGAGGAGGCAGCUGGACCCGUCCUCGCCCGAGCAUGGAGACGGAGCUCCAGGGAGGGCACGUCCGGGGCGCUGGAGACGCCAGGCCCGAGUAGCUCCUCCAUGGAGCCUGCCCAGAGCGGUCAGUGCUCUCCGGAUUCUCCUCCAGUCCUGUGUGGUAGGUACCCUUCGCCUUCACUGUUUCCAGAAGGGACACCUUGGGGCAGGGUCGUAGAAGCCAGUAAGGAGCGGCGGGGAGGGGGAGAGAGCAUGCCUGGCAGGUGAGCCUCCCAGCCCCAGGCAGGUUUGUACUCUAGAAGUUAGCAACUGGCUGUGCCCCUUGACUAGCAAAAAGUAGUGCUAGUGAUGUGAUGUUGUGUAUGUGUGUGUAUAUCUGUAUGUGCAGGGGACUCGAAUGGGUAAACUGAGCCCUGCUUUCCUAUAUGCAAAUUGCAACCCCUUUCCCCACCCCCACUUCAGCGAACGUGUUGAGAUAUCCAGCACCUAAUCCUGGUCAGUUCUACCUACCCCUUUCUUUCCCCGCGCCCCCUCGCUCAGUCUCUCCCCCUCUCUCCUUCUCUCUCUCUGCUGGUGUGUACGUGUGUGAGCCUUGCCAGGGCUGGCGAAGAACCAGCCGCCGCCUCUUGUCCGAGCUGCCGGGCUAUCAAACGUUAGGGCAGGACUCGCUGCCAGAAACAGUUGGGCUCUGAACCAGCCUGCACGCGGCUCUGUGUGCCCAAAGCCUCCGGCCUCUGCCGCCCCGGAACUCACACCCAAGAAGCGCAGGGCGCAAGGAGCCCCUCACCCUCCCGCCCGCCCGCCCGCCUGCCUGCGGACUGCGCGCUCGCUCAUUUCAGACGCUGGAUUUACUCGCUUUCCAAUUUUUCGCACCCCCAUCUCAGUUUUUUUUUUUUUUUUGGUCCACCCCUCCCCGCCGCGACCCCCUUUCCCCGCUUGAUCGCCAAGCCUAACCUUGCCCGCGUGGUCAUGGGUUGUCUAAUUUCAUUUGUAUCUAGGCUGCUGAGAGCGCUCCUUGCUCUGUAAAGUGGAUGUCAGGUGGAUCUAUGUUUUUGAAGGAACAAAGACUCAGCGAAGGCACCGCCAAGGAAGUUUGAGACGCGGGAGGAUGCAGGCUGCGUGCUGGUACGUGCUUCUCCUCCUGCAGCCCACGUUCUACUUGG